GAUGAACGCUGGCGGCGUGCUUAACACAUGCAAGUCGAACGGAAGGGCCCUGCUUUUUUGGGGUGCUCGAGUGGCGAACGGGUGAGUAACACGUGAGUAUCCCGCCCCUGCCCUUGGGAUAACUUCAGGCCACUGGGGCUCAUACCGGAUCCGUGCUCCUGCUGCUUGGUGGUGGUUGGAACGUUUCGGCGGUUGGGGAUGGACUCGCGGCUUAUCAGCUGGUUGGUGGGGUAGUGGCUUACCAGGGCUUCGACGGGGAGCCGGCCGGAGAGGGUGACCGGCAAAAGGGGGACAAGGAUACGGCAGAGAGGAGUACGGGAGACAGCAGUGGGGAAGAAUGCACAAUGGGGGGAAGCCUGAUGCAGCAACGCGGCGAGCGGGAUGAUGGCCUUCUGGUUGGAAAGCGCAUUGGGCUGUGACGGUGCGUGAUUGAAGGUAAUGGAUGAAUAAGCACCGGCUAACUACGUG
rnacentral:rRNA from 1 species